AUUGAACGCUGGCGGCAGGCCUAACACAUGCAAGUCGAACGGUAACAGGAAGAAGCUUGCUUCUUUGCUGACGAGUGGCGGACGGGUGAGUAAUGUCUGGGAAACUGCCUGAUGGAGGGGGAUAACUACUGGAAACGGUAGCUAAUACCGCAUAACGUCGCAAGACCAAAGAGGGGGACCUUCGGGCCUCUUGCCAUCGGAUGUGCCCAGAUGGGAUUAGCUAGUAGGUGGGGUAACGGCUCACCUAGGCGACGAUCCCUAGCUGGUCUGAGAGGAUGACCAGCCACACUGGAACUGAGACACGGUCCAGACUCCUACGGGUGGCAGCAGUGGGGAAUAUUGCACAAUGGGCGCAAGCCUGAUGCAGCCAUGCCGCGUGUAUGAAGAAGGCCUUCGGGUUGUAAAGUACUUUCAGCGGGGAGGAAGGGAGUAAAGUUAAUACCUUUGCUCAUUGACGUUACCCGCAGAAGAAGCACCGGCUAACUCCGUG
rnacentral:rRNA from 1 species